GGUUCAGCAUCUGCAUCUGAGGACAGACUUUGGGACCAGGUUUUGAAUGGUUCACAAAGCAAGGACCACCCCGGACAGGGUGGUUCACCGUCAAAGGAAGAAGACAGACUUUGGCACCAGGUUUUGAACGGUUCACAAAGCAAGGACCAACCCUGACGAGGUGGUUCACCGUCGGAGGAAGAAGACAGACUUUUUGCCCAGUUUCUGAACAUUUCACGAAGCAAGAAUCACCCCGGACGGGGUGGUUCACCGUCGAAGGAAGAAGACAGACUUUGGCACCAGGUGUUGAACGGUUCACGAAGCCAGAACCACCAGGGACAGGGUGGUUCAACAUUGGAGGAAGAAGACAGACUUUGGGACCGGGCUUUGAACAUUUCACAGAGGUUGAACGAUCCCGGACAGGGUGGUUCAACCUUUGCUUCCGAGGAAAGACUUUGGGACCAGUCUUUGACCAUUUCAUGUAGCAAGAACUACCCCGGACGGGGUGGUUCACCGUCGAAGGAAGCAGACAGACUUUGGCACCAGGUUUUGAAAGGUUCACAAAGCAAGGACCACCCCGGACGGGGUGGUUCACCGUCGGAGGAAGAAGACAGGCUUUGGCACCAGGUUUUGAACGGUUCAC